UUAUUGUUCGGAGUGAAAUUCCACAAUACAUCACCAUUCACCUUCUUUCUCCAAAGGGUUGAAUCGAGGGAAAUUGUUCGGAUAUCGAAUUCAAACCCAAUGCUAGUAGAUUCGAAAUUUGAAGAGAAAAAAAAUUGGGUAUAGGACUGGUGGUCGCCGGAGAAUUCCAAAUUUUGGGUGAAUUGGAUUUGUGAUGAUGUUGUGCUUAGUGAAAGAAAAUUUCAGAGAAGUUGUGCAAUUGGGAGAAAGAAUGAUGUGGAGUAUGAAAUAAAUUUCUGAAUUUAAAAAAAUAUCAGAAGGAAGUGGAUUGGUGUUCUUAGAAGGAGACAUGGAUGUGAGAAUUGUUGGAAGAACCAGUCAAGCCGCUGCAUAACAAGUUGUUGGUCAAGCCGCUGCAUGCCAAGUUGAUCAAGCUGGAAGAAAUAACAAAGUUGGUCAAGGUGCUGCAAGCCAAGUUGAUCAAGUUGUUGGUCAAGCCGCUACAUGCCAAGUUGAUCAAGCUGUCGAUCAAGCCGCUGCAUGGCGAGUUGAUCAAGCUGCUGCUUGCAAUGCUGAGAUUACGCGUGAUAAACAAGUCAUCAACUCCAGACGAGCCAAGGCGACA